AUGCGAUUUCCCAUCAUGAUAAACGUUGUAGCCGUAUGCCUCGUCCUCUCCACCCUGGCCGCCGCCGGCGUCUGGUCGCCAGCGCCUCCGCCGCCGGCCCAGCAGCACGGUGAGCAUGUCCUCCGUGAGGGCCGCCGCGUCGUCAUCGUCGAGUACGAGCGCGAGCUCCCGCUCACCCCGGGCCAGGGCUCCGCCAAAGAGACGCACGUCUUGCCCCCUCACGCUCUUGACGGCGUCGAGGCGAAAGAAACGGUGUCGGAGGAGGCCAGGGGAGCCGUCUCCAACGCGGCGGACAAGGUGGCUGGCGCGGCGGAGGAUGGCAAGGAGAAGCUGUCCAAUGCCAAGGAGAGCGCCACGGGCAAGGUGUUCGGCGCGGUGAAGCGCUGCAAGGACAGGCUCUGCGGCGCGGCCAAGGGGUUGGAGGAGGGCGCGAGAGACGGGGUCUCGCGCGUCAGAGAUGGCGCCGAGGACGUGGCGAGAGACGCCGGGGAGACGCUCUCUGGUGCCAAGGACAAAGCGGAGGACAAGGUGUUCGACGCUGCAUCAGAGGCGAAGGGCGCUGCGAUGAGUGCCAAGGACAAGGUCUCCGAAGCAGCCGGUGGAGCCAAGGAGAAGGCAGCACACAUCAAGGAUGGAGCGGCUGGAACCGUGAGGAGUGCCAAGGACAAGGUCUCUGAAGCAGCCGGUGGAGCCAAGGAGAAGGCGUCGCACGUGAAGGACCGAGCAGCUGAGACAGUGACCAGUGCCAAGGGCAAGGUCUCUGAAGCUGCAAGGAACGCCAAAGACAAGGUGUCUGACAUUGCAGAGCGUGCAGAGGAUUACGCCGAGGAUGCCGCAGAGAGCGCGGCCGAGAAGGUGGCGCGGGCCGAGGAGGUCGCCAAGGCGAAGGCCGGCGAGGUGACCAAGAACCUGACGGACAUCGCGAGGCGGGCCCAGGAGGUGGCAUCCGAUGCAGCGGGAUACCUGCUCGGCGCGCCCAUGGAGGCCGCGCGCACCGCGACGGCGGUGAUGCACCUGCUGGGGUUCGCCACGGCCUACGGCGCGUGCGUGUGGGUGACGUUCGUGUCGAGCCACGUCCUCGCUGCGUCGCUGCCCCGGCAGCAGCUCGGCGUGGUGCAGAGCAAGCUGUACCCGGUGUACUUCCGCGCCAUGGCGUACUGCGUCGGCCUGGCCCUGGCGGCGCACCUGCUCGGCCGCGAGAGGAGCUCCUUCGCGGCGCGCGCCCAGAGCUUCAACUUGCUCAGCGCGCUGGGACUGGUCCUCGCCAACAUGCUGCUUCUCGAGCCAAAAGCCACCAAGGUGAUGUUCGAGAGGAUGAAAGUGGAGAAGGAAGAAGGCAGAGGAAGGGACAUGUCCGACAUCGUCGACCCGCCGGCCGUCACCGUGGCCACGGCCGCCACGGCCACCACAGCCACCCCCACGGCAGCAGGAGCCCGUAGCCCGGUGGACGGCACGACGGGAACCGUCAGGGCGGCGAAGACCACGACGACGACGACGACGUCGGUGACGGCGCCCGACGCGGAGAUGGCCAAGAGCAAGGUGGUGAGGCUGAACAAGCGGCUGAAGCAGCUCAACAGCUACUCGUCCCUGUGCAACGUGCUGUCCCUGAUGGCCCUGACGUGGCACCUCGUUCACCUGGCUCGCCGCCUGCAGAUGAGCACGGCCUGCUAG
rnacentral:rRNA from 1 species